rnacentral:tRNA from 1 species
GGUCGGGUAGCUCAGUCGGUUAGAGCGCCGUGCUAAUAACGCGGAUGUCGAGGGUUCGAGCCACUCUCUGGCCA